rnacentral:RNase_P_RNA from 1 species
CGAUGGCAGAUGAUCGCUGGCGGGCCGCAAGGCCGGCCAGAGGAAAGUCCGAACACCAGACGGCAGCAUGCCGCGCAAAAGGCGCGGGGGCGGCUCACGAAAGGGAGCCGCGACGGAAAGUGUCACAGAAAAGAUACGGCCUAACGAGCGCGCAAGCGUUCGUGGCAAAGGUGAAAAGGCGAGGUAAGAGCUCACCGCUCACGCCGCAAGGCGCGAGGCAGGAAAAACCCCAUGCGGUGCAAGACAAAACAGAGGAAGGGCAGCCGGUCCGUUAACCCCUCGGGUAUCGUCGCAUUACGUCCCGCAAUUGCGGGACGGGCGUCCGGCGCAAGCUGGGCGAGAUAAAUGAUCAUCGUCCCGCCUCGAAGGCGGGAUACAGAAUUCGGCUUAUCGCCAUCGAAAU